rnacentral:rRNA from 1 species
ACAAAGAAGAGUUUUAUCAUGGCUCAGGAUGAACGCUAGCUACAGGCUAAACACAUGCAAGUCGAGCGGAAUGGCUUCGGUCAUGUAGCGGCA